rnacentral:rRNA from 1 species
UGGCCCUACGGGGGGCAGCAGUGGGGAAUAUUGCACAAUGGGCGAAAGCCUGAUGCAGCAACGCCGCGUGAAGGAAGACGGUUUUCGGAUUGUAAACUUCUGUUCUUAGUGAAGAAUAAUGACGGUAACUAAGGAGCAAGCCACGGCUAACUACGUGCCAGCAGCCGCGGUAAUACGUAGGGGGCAAGCGUUAUCCGGAUUUACUGGGGGUAAAGGGUGCGUAGGGGGCAGGGCAAGUCAGAUGUGAAAGCCCGGGGCUCAACCCCG